CAGCCGCCACGGUAAUACAGAGGGUGCGAGCGUUAAUCGGAUUUACUGGGCGUAAAGCGUGCGUAGGCGGCUUCUUAAGUCGGAUGUGAAAUCCCUGAGCUUAACUUAGGAAUUGCAUUCGAUACUGGGAAGCUAGAGUAUGGGAGAGGAUGGUAGAAUUCCAGGUGUAGCGGUGAAAUGCGUAGAGAUCUGGAGGAAUACCGAUGGCGAAGGCAGCCAUCUGGCCUAAUACUGACGCUGAGGUACGAAAGCAUGGGGAGCAAACAGGAUUAGAUACCCGUGUAGUCCCUGUCUCUUAUAA
rnacentral:rRNA from 1 species